GCCUCGUUAGCGCAGUAGGUAGCGCGUCAGUCUCAUAAUCUGAAGGCUGUGAGUUCGAUCCUCACACGGGGCA
rnacentral:tRNA from 1 species